GCUUACGGCCAUACCACGUUGAAAGCACGUCAUCCCGUCCGAUCUGGCAAGUUAAGCAACUUUGGGCGCGGUGAGUACCUGGAUCGGAGACGGCUUGGGACUUUUGAAAUUU
rnacentral:rRNA from 1 species